GUGCCAGAGGCUACUGUUGGUUGUGUAGCGGCAGACUGUAAAUCUGCUCUUAAGAAACGCCGAAGGUUCGAUUCCUUCCUGUCACACCA
rnacentral:tRNA from 1 species